rnacentral:rRNA from 1 species
UACGUAGGGACCAAGCGUUGUUCGGAUUUACUGGGCGUAAAGGGCGCGUAGGCGGCUUAACAAGUCACUUGUGAAAUCUCCGGGCUUAACUCGGAACGGCCAAGUGAAACUGUCAAGCUAGAGUGCAGAAGGGGCAAUCGGAAUUCUUGGUGUAGCGGUGGAAUGCGCAGAUAUCAGGAGGAACACCGGUGGCGAAGGCGGGAUCCUGGGCCAGUACUGACGCUGAGGAGCGAAAGCGUGGGGAGCAAACAGG